UACGUAGGCAGCAAGCGUUGUUCGGAAUUACUGGGCGUAAAGAGUGUGUAGGCGGUUCGCUAAGUUCGGUGUGAAAUCUCCCGGCUUAACUGGGAGGGUGCGCCGGAAACUGGCGGGCUUGAGUAUGGGAGAGGAAAGCGGAAUUCCUGGUGUAGCGGUGAAAUGCGUAGAUAUCAGGAGGAACAUCUGUGGUGUAGACGGCUUUCUGGACCAUCACUGACGCUGAGACACGAAAGCGUGGGUAGCAAACAGG
rnacentral:rRNA from 1 species